AUGAGGGCUGAUGACUCUAUUCCACCUGCUGAUGAAAUUUCUAGGGCAACCACUAGUUUUGCGCCUAAGGAACAAUCCAGGCCAGCUGAGCGAUCAACCACUGAGCCUGAAGAAACUGAACCAACCAGGCCAACUGCAUCAGUUGUGCCUGAGGUAAAUGUACCAAUUUCCUCUGCUCCUCCUUCACCAACACCAAGUCCAGUUCUUCCUUCUGCAUCAGAAGCAAAGAAAACCAAGGCUGCGGAGCGAGGAGCAGUGAAGAAAAGGAAAUCAUCUGCUCCAUCAGAUUCUUCAGCCCCGAAGAAGAUGAAGACAUUAACCAGCUCAUUUGAGAAUCCUAUUGAUGAUGUUCCCAUCUCUAGUAUGCCAUCAAAGGAACUCAUUACUUUUGGUAAAGAUUAUGAGAUCCCAAGCGGAUCUGAUGAAGACAUUCCUUCUGCUGCUUCUUCAGAGCAGUUGGACGAAGAAAUUGAAGCGAAUAAUAUCCCUUCAACCCCAGUCGUGUCAUCGCCUAUGCCUCAGUUCACAGCCGAAGAGGCAGGCAUUGUAGAAUUGAAUGAAGAAGAUGAAGACAUGGACAUUGGGAGCACCACUUGA
rnacentral:rRNA from 1 species